rnacentral:rRNA from 1 species
UUUUAAAUGGCCGCAGUAUUUUGACUGUGCAAAGGUAGCAUAAUCAUUAGUUUUUUAAUUAAAAGCUUGUAUGAAAGGCUGGACGAGGUAAAAUCUGUCUCUAUUUAAAUUAUAGUAGAAUUUAACUUUUAAGUUAAAAGGCUUAAAUAUUAUUAAAAGACGAGAAGACCCUAUAGAUCUUUAUAGUUUAUUAAAUUAAAUUAAUUUAGAAAUAUUAAUGUUUUAUUUAGUUAAGUUAUUUUAUUGGGGUAAUAAAAAGAUUGAAUUAAUUCUUUUUUAUAAUAAACAUUAAUUUAUGAAUAUUAAUGAUCCAGUUUUACUGAUUAUAAGAUUAAGUUACCUUAGGGAUAACAGCGUAAUUUUUUUAGAGAGUUCAUAUCGAUAAAAAAGUUUGCGACCUCGAUGUUGGAUUAAAGAUUACUUUAGGUGUAGAAGCUUAAUAAUUUUGGUCUGUUCGACCAUUAAAUCUUUACAUGAUCUGAGUUCAGACCGGCGUAAGCCAGGUCGGUUUCUAUCUUUAAUAAAAUAAAAUAUUUUAGUACGAAAGGACCAAAUAUUUGAUAUAUUUAUAUUUAAUUUAUUGAAUAUUA